rnacentral:rRNA from 1 species
AACGAACGCUGGCGGCAGGCCUAACACAUGCAAGUCGAGCGCCCCGCAAGUGGAGCGGCGGACGGGUGAGUAACGCGUGGGAACGUACCCUUUUCUACGAAAUAGCCUCGGGAAACUGGGAGUAAUACCGUAUUUGUCCUUCUGGAGAAAGAUUUAUCGGCAAGGGAUCGGCCCGCGUUGGAUUAGGUAGUUGGUGGGGUAAUGGCCUACCAAGCCGACGAUGCAUAGCUGUUUUGAGAGGAUGAUCAGUCACACUGGGACUGAGACACGGCCCAGACUCCUACGGGAGGCAGCAGUGGGGAAUCUUAGACAAUGAGCGCAAGACUGAUCUAGCCAUGCCGCGUGAGCGAUGAAGGCCUUAGGGUUGUAAAGCUCUUUCAGGGGGGAAGAUAAUGACUGUACCCCGAGAAGAAGCCCCGGCUAACUCCGUG